rnacentral:rRNA from 1 species
UACGUAGGACGCAAGCGUUAUCCGGAGUUACUGGGCGUAAAGCGCGGGCAGGCGGUCUUGCCAGUCUGAUGUGAAAUCUCUCCGCUCAACGGGGAGCAGCCAUUGGAAACUACAAGACUGGAGUCUGACAGAGGUAGGCGGAAUUCCGGGUGGAGUGGUGAAAUGCGUAGAGAUCCGGAGGAACACCAGAGGCGAAGGCGGCCUACUGGGUCAGUACUGACGCUGAGCCGCGAAAGCCAGGGGAGCGAACGGG